rnacentral:snoRNA from 1 species
CUGAGCCAAUGAUGUGCUGUUAUCCCUGUCUGAAAACUCAGCUGUGAGGGAGAAAUGAAUAUCUCUGAGGCUCAU